CGGUGAUUAUAUCAAGAGGGAAACGCCCGGUCCCAUCCCGAACCCGGAAGCUAAGCCUCUUUGAGCCGAUGGUACUGCACUCGGAAGGGUGUGGGAGAGUAGGUCAUCGCCG
rnacentral:rRNA from 1 species